UUCUUUUAUAUGUUUUGUAGGCUCAAAUCGAAAAAAUGGUUCAAUCGGUGCCAUCUCUAUCUAGCAUAGAGAUUGUCAAAAAAUGUUGUGGACCUCAAACUCGUAGCCAUGUAUUUGGCUUUGGGGGUGGAGUAAAGGCCAAAGACUUGAAAGGUGGCACUUCUUCAAAUGAUGAAUUGCUGUCUGCGCUAGUCCUUGAAUGAGAAAAAUAAAUCCUUGAAUGAUCUCUUGUCUACCUUCGAAGAUGAGAUGAAAGAAAUUAAGAAAAUAAAAGAAUUCUUUGCUUCUCAACAAUCAUAUGUCCCGCCUACGACAUCGCCCGUUUCAACUGGAUGACCACUGCUUUUGUCUGCUGACCAACCUCGAUGAUGUUGCUGGAUAACACCUAAUGAAUUUAUUAUAUUGCUUUUGGGGUUUCGAAGAUUGAAUUUAACAAGUCAAGAUGAAAGUUUAGAAGAUGCACAAGCCCAUUAUUUUGCUAGGAAUGUUAUGCACUCGCUAUCGUAGUCUAACUCGAGUGUUAGUAAAGUUGUUUUGUUAAGGUGUCGAGCAAAUAUUGAAACUAACAUCAUGGGAUGUUAACAAUUUUAUUGUAAUUAACAACUCUAUC